GUGGGGAAUAUUGGACAAUGGGGGCAACCCUGAUCCAGCCAUGCCGCGUGUGUGAAGAAGGCCUUCGGGUUGUAAAGCACUUUCAGCAGUGAGGAAAGGCGAGUGGUUAAUACCCGCUUGCUGUGACGUUAACUGCAGAAGAAGCACCGGCUAACUCCGUGCCAGCAGCCGCGGUAAUACGGAGGGUGCAAGCGUUAAUCGGAAUUACUGGGCGUAAAGCGCGCGUAGGUGGUUCAGUCAGUCAGAUGUGAAAGCCCCGGGCUCAACCUGGGAAUUGCACCUGAUACUGCUGAGCUNGAGUACGGUAGAGGGUAGUGGAAUUUCCGGUGUANCGGUGAAAUGCGUAGAGAUCGGAAGGAACACCAGUGGCGAAGGCGACUACCUGGACCGAUACUGACAUUGAGGUGCGAAAGCGUGGGUAGCAAACAGGAUUAGAUACCCUGGUAGUCCACGCCGUAAACGAUGUCAAGCUAGCCGUUGGGGGAACUUGAUCCUUU
rnacentral:rRNA from 1 species